rnacentral:rRNA from 1 species
GUGGGGAAUCUUGCGCAAUGGCCGAAAGGCUGACGCAGCGACGCCGCGUGGGGGAGGAAGGCCUUCGGGUUGUAAACCCCUGUUGCCCGGGACGAAAGCGUUCUUUAGAGAGCGUUGACGGUACCGGGUGAGGAAGCACCGGCUAACUCCGUGCCAGCAGCCGCGGUAAUACGGAGGGUGCAAGCGUUGUCCGGAAUCACUGGGCGUAAAGGGCGCGUAGGCGGCUCAUGAAGGCUGUGGUGAAAGUCCGGGGCUCAACCUCGGAUCGGCCGUGGCGACUCGUGGGCUGGAGCACUGUAGAGGCGGGUGGAAUUCCGGGUGUAGCGGUGGAAUGCGUAGAGAUCCGGAAGAACACCAGUGGCGAAGGCGGCCCGCUGGGCAGUGGCUGACGCUGAAGCGCGACAGCGUGGGGAGCAAACAGGAUUAGAUACCCUAGUAGUCC